rnacentral:lncRNA from 1 species
AAGGUCAUUAGAAUCUUUGAUGUUGUUAAGUACAACAUUGAAGAUUCUUAUAGUUUUUCUGGUGCCACUAGAAAAUGUGAGUUGUUUUCGUUCAAACGUAAUUCUUGGAAAGAGAUUGAGUCCGAAGGAAGUUCGUUUCUUUGCGCCGAUGGCGGUUAUGCCCUUGUGGAUUGUAGUUAUCAUUGGUUAGCUGUGAAUUCCAUUCUAGCAUUUAAUUUCACUGAAGAAAUUUUUU